rnacentral:lncRNA from 1 species
UCUUUGAACUUGCGAUGAUCAAACAAAGGAAACAGACAGGUUGUAACUCACACUAUCACAAGAAGAUCACGAAGAUGGAAAUGGGAACCCAUCAGAAUGGAAACUUUGAAUAGAUGAAAAAAGAAAAACGACCUUAUUCACAGAAGAAGAGUGACUUAAAUCUUCAUCAGUAUCCAGACAUUUUGCAAUCAUAGAGUAGAGAAAUUUUAACAGGAACAGCAGAGAAAAUAUUAUGAAUAUGCUAUAGACCAAUAUACUUGUUCAUAGCUAACGUUUGAUGGUUUAAGGAUUUGUUCUAGGAAUAAUGGGCUGAUUACUUUCUUUUUAUUUUAAUUUUUUUUUAAUCCAAUGAAUGAUAUUCAGCUGUUAAUUAUGUGUUCAUAGGGAAGAACAUUUUCUAAGUACUUUCCUUGCCUUCUAACUUUCCGAAAAGCAAACCCAAUGAGCAAACAGAGCACAAACUAAAAUAAAAGAACAGCAAUGAUAACAAUAAAUAAUUGGCAAAGAAAAAAAGGAAAAAGUAUGCACGUUUUCAAGGAAUUAUAAAAUACGAAGGCUUUUAAUGAAAUUUUAUCAUAAAAACGUACGCAAGGAGUUAUAAAAAUUUUAGAAGACGAAGGGAGCUCCCAAAAAAAAAAAAAAGAAGAAAAAGACUCAAAUUAAACUAGACUAAAAAGACAUUCAAUUAUGCAAAAUCUGUCCAUAAAAGUCUGAAAGGAUCAUUAAAAUUGCAUUGCAAAUUUAACAGUAAACCGAGGGACCCAUUCUAAAUAAUUCAGAUGAAAUUGUGAAACAAGACAUGGGAUUAAAUAAAUGAAAUAAAAAUUAAUUACCAGUUGAGACUUUCUUCUAAAAAUUCGCAACUCCAAGUCAUAAGAAGCCUAUGAAAUUAGUCGUACUGCGUAGAGUAUGACGACGACACCGCCAACAGCUGAAAGUAAAAUUCUUAUUCAUCAAUUUAAACUUACUUUAUAACAAAUAUCUUAUCUAUAUUGUAUUUAAGAAAGCAAAUUUUGUAAAAAUUUAUCAUGGGAGAUAGAGAGUAAUAUGUAUAUACGUACCUUCUCAGCAUGUAAUUGUUGUAUGGUUGUGUUUAGAUCAUUAUUAGCCCAGCGCCGUUGAUCCGCUGUCUCUCCAUAGCAGACGUUUACUCUUAGAGGCGUGAUUGAUUCUCCUGUAGUGAAAAUCUUCAUCUUGGGACAACCAAUCACAUCCAGAUAUUCCAAAGAUGGGAAUUUGAAGGUGUAAUUGGCAGAACAGAAACUUGUGAGGCUAUCUAAAUCAAACAGUCCCAACGUCUUCAAUUUGCUAAAAACAAUCUCUUCUUUUUCAACUCCAUCUUUGUCAUUUAUUACCACCUCUGUCAUUGCUCUGCAUCCAUAUAUUUCUAUUGCUAUGAGUCGCACCAGAGUUUUUGCUGUGGAGGAUGUUACCAAGUGUAUCAAUUCCUUGCAACCGAAAGCUACAAGUUUUGUUAGGUUCCCAAAAGAUACCGAUGAUGAUGGCAAUAGAAUUAACAGACUUUGACAAUGAUAUACUUUUAGAAUUUCAAGAUACUGAAAAAUGGGGCCAAGUUUGGAGUCUUGCUUGCACAGCUGCUCCAGAUGAUAGUGCCAGCGCAGCUGUAAUUCUUUUAUCAUUGCCAACUUCCCCACAUGUUUCUCUAAGCAUCCUUCCAUCGAAAAUACCUCUUCGUGGGAUGAAAAAAACAACAGUGUGAGUAUUUCGAGAUUGUGAAAUCUCUCCAGUACGUUCCAGAUUGUAAAACCAGCUGAGUCAUCUGCAGCAAUCUCUAGUUCUCUAAGACUGCCAAAAAGGUGUUGUGGGAAAUCGGCCUGCAAAAUCAUCUUCACAUCUUUUCCACUUAGUGAUAGUUCCUUCAAGUUGGGUACGAUCUGAUCAUCAUCAAUCAUAAUAACUAAUGAGGUCAAUUGAUGAUCUACGGUCACACGCAGUGACUUUAUAGUAUUUGUUUUAUAUUAUAUUUUUAAAAAAAAUUGAAUUAUUGAUAAAAUUUAUUUUAUAUGUUAAUUUUAGAGGUAAAAAAGAAAUUAGGGAAAAAAGGUUGAUUUAUACUGGCUUGAAAUUAUUUUAUUGCACAAUAAUAAAUUACUAAUUUAUUUUGUAAGUUCUUCUAUAUGGAAAGACUAAGGAUUCUUUUAUAAAUGCUAUACCUUAAAAAGUUCAUAUAAUUAUUAAUCUACCACAUUGAUCUCUUAAUCUAGACUAGCAAAGAUUAUUGUAUAAUAAAAGUUUUCAAUUUAUUGAGUGUUAAUUUAUCGAUGCUUUGUCAUUUUUUUCGAAGUUAAAAAUACGCUAUUGAUAAAAAAUCUAGAAAAUGGCUUCGUACCUUUUCCAACGGCAAUAGGGGCUGUUGUGCAGGAAUACCAAGUUGAUCAUUCUCAUUAUUCUGCGAUAAAUCUGCAUCGAAUAUCUUUAAUUUGUCACAACGACCCACUAAAAGAAUUUCUAGUGCGGGCCAUUCCGAAGUAUGCAUUCCAGGGUACAAACAUCUAAGUUUUGGUAGACAUUCGAGUCUUAGAGUCUCAGAGUGGUGAGCUGUGGAAAGACAAAAUAAGGGAUAACUUCAUCUGCUCUGUUUUCAGAAAUGAUCUCCUCUAAAUCCUCACAGAAGCGUAUAUCUAGGUGUUGGAGCUGCUUAAGGCUUUCGAUCAUAGACGCUGAAAAUAUGUAUUUUAAUUUGUGACAACGCCACGCGAUCAAUCGUGUUAAAUUUUGAAAGCGAGGAAACACGGCCGCCGGAAUUUGAUUGUAGUGCCAAAUCUUGUCGACAUUAAUAUCAGAUAUCUCCAAAGCCUCCAAGUUAGGCAACGCAACCUAAAAGAAUAAGAAUUUCUGGUUAGAUCCAAUAUCCAUAUGGGAAGCACUUGUUGAAAUUUUCUUCUUUGAUUACAAAUUAAUGCAAGUCUGAAUCAAUUUCCAACUGACAGCUGAGUAUGCAUUCUAAUUCAUACUACUUGUUAAGAGCUCAAUUAGUGAGCGCGUGAGAUUCUUUUUAUCCUUUUUUCCAUUUUCUUUCAAUUCUUUAAAUGAUUUAAUUAUUUUCCACGUAUGACAUCAAAACAGAACGCAUGAUAGAAUAAAGAAAAUGUUAGCCUACGCACCUUCUCGUUGAAAAGCAGAGUUGAAGUAUCCAAAGUGAUUUCGCUGGAGCUAUACGUAGUCGUCGAUUCCUCCUGCGACGCUGGUCUGUUUGGUGAUGCUGAAGGAGUCUUCACGUCACGGCAAAAACUUGUAAACUCUGGAAGAUUCCCCAGACUCAAAGAUCUUAAUUGAGCAAACUCUAUCUUCUCAAUUGCAUUAUCAACUUCUUCCCCAAUUGCAAAAAUCUCUUUCAUCUUGCUGCAAUUAAUAACUGCAAUUCUCUCAAGUCUUGGAAGGCAUUUUGUUGUAGAGAGCCAAAAGAUAUUACUCAAUUUAUCACAAUUAUAUGCUUGUAUGAUUUUGAGUUCGUUGAAGGACUCUACUUUGAGCCGAUCAAUACAUAUCCUCUCCAUGUUGAUCAAAUUGUGAAGGCCAAGUGACUCCAAAAGAGGAAAGGCAUCACAAGCGACCAUCGCCCUUGAAUCGACGAUACAAAAGAUGUCAGGAUUAUUUUGAACCCAGAGAAGCUUCAAUUGUGAAAAGCCCUCUGUGUCCAAAUUGAAAAGAACAUUCUCGAUGCCUUGCAGCUUGUCCAACCAUAAGCAUUCUACGUUAUUGAUGCCCUGCAAUUUCAUGGAGCAAAUGUCCAUAAAAGCAAGCUUGAGCUUCAAUGCUCUUAAACUCUUGCGAUCACUUUUGCGAGAAAAGCGCCGCAGACUUUGGAACCAAUUUUGUUCAGCAAUCAUGGGAUGUGUGCUAUACCUUAAAAAGUUCAUAUAAUUAUUAAUCUACCACAUUGAUCUCUUAAUCUAGACUAGCAAAGAUUAUUGUAUAAUAAAAGUUUUCAAUUUAUUGAGUGUUAAUUUAUCGAUGCUUUGUCAUUUUUUUCGAAGUUAAAAAUACGCUAUUGAUAAAAAAUCUAGAAAAUGGCUUCGUACCUUUUCCAACGGCAAUAGGGGCUGUUGUGCAGGAAUACCAAGUUGAUCAUUCUCAUUAUUCUGCGAUAAAUCUGCAUCGAAUAUCUUUAAUUUGUCACAACGACCCACUAAAAGAAUUUCUAGUGCGGGCCAUUCCGAAGUAUGCAUUCCAGGGUACAAACAUCUAAGUUUUGGUAGACAUUCGAGUCUUAGAGUGGUGAGCUGUGGAAAGACAAAAUAAGGGAUAACUUCAUCUGCUCUGUUUUCAGAAAUGAUCUCCUCUAAAUCCUCACAGAAGCGUAUAUCUAGGUGUCGGAGCUGCUUAAGGCUUCCGAUCAUAGACGCUGAAAAUAUGUAUUUUAAUUUGUGACAACCCCACACAAUCAAUCGUGUUAAACUUUGAAAGUGAGGAAGCACGGCCGCUGGAAUUUGAUUGUAGUGCCAAAUCUUGUCGACAUUAAUUGCAGAUAUCUCCAAAGCCUCCAAGUUAGGCAACGCAACCUAAAAAAAGAAGAAUUUCUCGUUAGAUCCAAUAUCCAUAUGGGAAGCACUUGUUGAAAUUUUCUUCUUUGAUUACAAAUUAAUGCAAGUCUGAAUCAAUUUCCAACUGACAGCUGAGUAUGCAUUCUAAUUCAUACUACCUGUUAAGAGCUCAAUUAGUGAGUGCGUGAGAUUAUUUUUUUCCCCAUUGUUUUCAUUUUCUUUCAAUUCUCUAAAUGAUUUAAUUAUUUUCCACGUUUGACAUAAGAGAACGCAUGAUAGAAUAAACUCUGUUAUAUAUAUAUAUGAAUAAAAUGUUAGCCUACGCACCUUCUCAUUGAAAAGCAAAGUUGAAAUAUCCAAAGUGAUUUCGCUGGAGCAAUACAUAGUCGUCGAUUCCUCUUGCGACACUUGUCUGUUCGGUGAUGCUGAAGGAGUCUCCACCUCACGGCAAAAACUUGUAACCUCUGGAAGAUUCCCCAGACUCAAAGAUCUUAAUUGAGCAAACUCUAUCUUCUUAUUUUGAACCUUUCGAGCUUUCUGGCCAAAAAACCUUCUGGUAACAUACUGUCAUUUUUAACAUCAAUUUCUAGAGUGGUUAGCCGAGGUAAAUGCAUCAAUUCAUCAAGGCUAGCAUUACUUCUUUUGCUGUUGGCUCUUUCAACCUCCCAUUCAAUGGAGCAAUUACCCAUAUACAGCUCUUCUAAUCGGAUUAAGCUUGAUAUGACAUUUGGGGCAAUAACUUUCAGACGGAAACAAUUGGUUAAAUCUAACAAUCUCAACUUAUUCAAUUGACCUAGUUCUUCUGGCAACUGCGUUAUAUCAGACUUCAAAAAGCUAAGGACUUCUAGAUUCUUCAACUUCCCAAUGAUUGCUAUGUCGCCCAACGCACUUUUAUCCAGACAUAGUGUGUGAAGAUUUACUAGAAGAUCAAUUGAAGAUGGAAAAGAAGAAAACUGCAUUCGAGUAAAAUCUAGAAUUCUAAGCUUUUUCAUCCCUACAAAAAAGUUCUCAGGAAUAUUGAUUUCAAGAGAAAAAUCUUUGAGAGAGAUAUAUAAAAAUUCAAGGUUUGGGCAUUCUAAUCCUUCAGGAAAUUCACGAUUACUAUUUUUUAUUAAAGAGAUAGCUUUGCAAUUUCGAAGUGCAUCCUUAUCUGGCCAGUCCCACACAUCCUCAUUCCUCACCGAAAACACAUGUUGCUGGCGGCAUGCAAUUGAUAUCGCGACAUCGCGAACAACAUCAUGCAUUGACAAUUGUUCAUUGCUCUCACCCUCAAGCAACAAACAAGAGUCUCUAAGUUCAUGGACCAAUGCAUAUAAUUUGUCUCGUGCAUCUUCCAUCUUAUUGACUCCUUUAAAUAUACCCAAACCCAUGGAGUACUUAAACAAGUCGAAAGUAAAAAUACGGUUACCCAUUAGACUGCAGAGCUGAAAAAUUUCCUUGCGUUCACCUUUUAAUUGGUUGAAACUCAGCUCAAUACUUGCAUAAGUCUCUGCAGAUACUCCUUCGAAGUUUACCAUUGAAGGCGUUCGGAGUUCUCGCAAGGAAUUCUUCCAUUCAUGCAGACUCUUGCCUCUCAAUGCCUUUGCUACCGUACUCAAGGCAAUGGGCAAACCUCCACAUGCCCUGGCGACGUCUAUUGCUGUAGAUUUCAACUCACGAUUUUCAACAUCAUCACCGGCCAUCAUCUUAAACAAUCUCCCGGCUUCUUCUUCUUUUAAGUUGUUUAUCAAAAAGUUGUCUUUGGAUCCCAUUUGUAAGAGGACACUACGAUCUCUUGCUGUCAGCAGUAGUUUGCAUCCUUUAUGAUCUUCUGCAAAAGGAAUUCCAACAGUCUCCAAAUUAAGGUGUUUCCAGAUGUUAUCUAAAACCACAAGGAUCUUCUUCUCAUUUCUCAAUCGCUCAAAUAGUCUACUUGCUCUUCCAGAUUCAACUUCCUCGCGCAACUCCAGGCCCAACUUCUCGGCAAUUUCCUGUUGAAUCUUUUUUAUGUCUGGAGUUUGCGAAACCUCUGAAAAGACCACCAUAUCAAAGAGCUUGGCUUCCAUAGCUUGCCUGGAGACCUCCUUCACCAGUGUCGUCUUUCCAAUGCCGCCCAUGCCGUACACCCCAAUGAUGCUAACAUCGAUCAAUGCUUUUUUUAUAGCCUCCAAAGUAGAACGUCUUGAUUCGAAGGCCUCGUAGCCUAUGUGAGACUUGAGCCAAAUCUCCUCCGGAAUGGUACGGUGGGAAACAAUAUCAAACUUCUUUACUUCUUCUCCAAGUUCAACAAGGGCCUUCAUUUCUGUCUCUGCUUUCUUGCUAAGCUGAUAGCGGGUCUUCAAAUUAGGACACAAGCCCUUGAGACAACGCUUAUUCGUUGACUCCUCAUUUUCAAUGAAUUUGGCUGCCCUGUCAAUGAUGUCGUUCGCACUAACCAGCCACUUUUCAACCUUCUCUUCAAUCUUUUCUCCUUUUCUUUCAGCCUCAGAAACUCUGUGCUGAAUGCUCCUACUUUCAUCCUUGAGUUCAUCAAAUUUUGCCCUGAGAUUCUCAAAGUUGGUUUUAUAGUUACGUAAAUAACCAAGUUGGCGUUCUGCUAGAGGAGCCAAGCAUUUCACAACUUCCAAAACAACAGUAAUAAUGGUUUCCACCAUCUUUGAUCCUUCUAUUUUUUUUUUUUUUUUGAGUUCUGAAAAGCAAAUAAACAAGAGCCAACCACAGAAGAGAAAAAAGAAGAAACAACAAAGAUGGACAGUUUAUCUGGUUGUGGAAGCGGAGAAAUGAAAGAAAGCGUAACAACUGAUUGAAUAAAUAUAAGGAGGGAUUUAGAUAAUAAAGGAGAAAGGAACCAAUCAAAAUAACUUAAGUAUAGACCAAAAGAAAGAUGAAAAAUAUAUUAUAGACCACAACCGAAUGAACAAAAGAAGAUGUCUUGACACAGCAGAAGUGCAGAGAGUAGAUAUGGAACAAAACAGAGACAACAGCAGGACACAACUAAAUUGGGAGCGGAGAGAAACUAAUCAACAAGGACUGAGAGAUUACAACAAAACAGAUGCCAAGAGAAAAGGGUUUCCUGAUCCUGUGAAGCUCAAGAGAGUUAACGGCAAUAGGGAGCAAACAUUAAUAACAAAACAACAGUGACUACAACGAACGAACGCAUAUGUUUUUCUUGAUUGAGAAUAAGUUCAAAGAAUGACUUUUUAAUGAGGUGCUGAAGCUGAAGAAUAACGAUUUGCUAAAAUUUUAAGAAUGCUAUAUAUUCUGUAAAUUCAACAAGUGAAGAAUAAAGAAUAAUGGUUUGUCAUCUUCACGAUGAAGAUCAUGGGCGAGAUUAAAAGCAAAAGUGAAGAAUAAAGAAUAAUGGUUUGUCAUCUUCAUGAUGAAGAUCAUGGGCGAGAUUAAAAGCAAAAGUGACCUAUUUGAAAAGCCAAAGUUCAAGUUCCUUUGCUAAGCUUAGAAGUGAAGCAAAGAAUAAAUAAAUAAAUGAGUAAUGAUCAAGGGAUCGGAAUGAAGUGUUAGAGUACAAUUUAUGCACUAGUUUUGCAUUAUUUACUUCUUUUAAUAUCGAUGUUUUGCACUUAAUAAUAGUGAUUUACUUGUGUUUUAUUUUGGUAGGUGCAAUUUUAUUGAUUGGUGCUAAAAUUGAGCUACAAGAUGAUGUUUGAGGAUGAUUGUUUUCUUGAAGAAAUUAUGAGCUUCAGAAGAACUUUGUUGAUAAGGUGUGGGCGCAUGCUGUCAACUACGGACCUGCAGUUUUUAGUUUAACGUGUUUUGUAUUUUUAGUUAUUUUUGUAAUUACGCAUUUAAUAUUUAGAUAAUAUUUUAGAAAUUAGUAUUUUAUUUUAAAAAGAACUCUAGAGGAGAAGAGAGAGAAGAGAAUUUAAGGGAGGAAUCUAUUGUCAAAGACGGGAGAUUUUUGAAGAGAAAGAAACCCUAGAUCUAAAUUUUUCUCUCCUGUCUAUGAAGAACUAAAUCUAUUAUUCUGGUUGAAGGUUAAUGAACUUUGAUUCAUCACUGCUGUGAGAUCUUUCUUAUACUUUAAUUAUUUUAUUACUUUUUGGGUAUUUGUUUAUUCUCUGAAUUAUUGUCAUGAUUAUGUUUGUUAAUUAGAUAAUUGGCUACUAUUUAAUUAUCAACUUAAUCUAUUGUCAAUUAAAAGAUUUAUCGUAUGAAGAUUUUAAUGUUUGUGACAAAUAGCAUAGCAGUGCAUUGUGUUAUGAGAAUAAACAAUCUAAUUUAAAUGAAUCAUCGUAUGCGUUUGUUGAUUAGGAUUUGGGUCUCUCUGAUUUUUCAGACUGUCAAUUGAUUAAAUCCUAUGAUCGUAUCUAGGGUUGUCUAUUGAUUAGGAAAAUAACCAACAAUCGUACCUUAAAACUAAUGUAGCAUGUGCAUGGAUCCCUGAAAAAAAUAGCGAAAGCGCUUGGUGGCCUGGCAAAGACUUGCAUCUCUUAACACCGUCAAGAACAUAAUGACAAAAAUUAUAUAUAUAUAUAAAGACUCAAGUCGUCCAUUUCCUUUUUCUUUUAAUGUUGUUAUUAUUAUUAUUAUUUAUUUUUUUCAAUUUCAUGAUAUCUUUUUUGUUUUAAACAGUAUUGGCAUAUUACAUUUAUUUAUGUUAAUUUUACAAUACCUCCCUUCAGAUUGCACAAAUUACAUUAAAAAAAAAAGUGCUUUAUGUAUAAAACUUUCAAACAAAUUGGGCCAAAAUCUAACUUUACCAAGUUUAAAGUAAUUUUGGGCUCGACAUUCCAUUUCCGACAAACGAAUUUUCUUUAUCACCGAGGUAUGAUACUUUUCAUAUUUAUCCAACGGCUCAUCAAUGACAAUACCUUUGUAAAAAGUACUUAUUUUCAAUAGUAUAUUGUGGAAAUGUCUGGUCGGUAAUACAACUAUUUCUUAUAGUGCAAAAAUGAUACACUAAUCGUUCACAUUUUGAUGGGUAAUCCAACAUAUGAAGCACUAGAUGUUUUGAUGAGAAAAUGACAAGACCAUUUAUCAAAUUUCUUGUGGAUAUAAAUACAUACACAUAGACGAGACCAACCUCCUCAAAUGAGAAUCAGAGUGAUUACAAGACCUUGCAAUGAGACAAUGAUACACCAUCAAAUGUCACAAUACAAUAGAAAUUCACGACAUAAAUAUAAUAAAAGACCUCUCAUUGAGUCAUAUAUAUAUUGAGAAUAAAAAUGUUAUAAUACAUACAAAGAGCUUAGCUAGAAUAAAAUGUCUUUGAACUUGCAAUGAUCAAACAAAGGAAACAGACAGGUUGUAACUCACACUAUCACAAGAAGAUCACGAAGAUGGAAAUGGGAACUGCUCAGAAUGGAAACUUUGAAUAGAAGAAAAAAGAAAAACGACCUUAUUCAUAGAAGAAGAGUGACUUAAAUCUUCAUCAGUAUCCAGAUAUUCUGCGAUCAUUGAGUAGAGAAAUUUUAACAGGAACAGCAGAGAAAAUAUUAUGAAUAUGCUAUAGACCAAUAUACUUGUUCAUAGCUAACGUUUGAUGGUUUAAGGAUUUGUUCUAGGAAUAAUGGGCUGAUUACUUUUUUUUUAUUUUAAUUUUUUUUAAUCCAAUGAAUGAUAUUCAGCUGUUAAUUAUGUGUUCAUAGGGAAGAACAUUUUCUAAGUACUUUCCUUGCCUUCUAACUUUCCGAAAAGCAAACCCAAUGAACAAACAGAGCACAAACUAAAAUAAAAGAACAGCAAUGAUGACAAUAAAUAAUUGGCAAGAAAAAAAAGGAAAAAGUAUGCAAGUUUUCAAGGAAUUAUAAAAUAUGAAGGCUUUUAAUGAAAUUUUAUCCUAAAAAGUAUGCAAGGAAUUAUAAAAUUUUAGAAAACAUGGGGAGCUCUAAAAAAAAAAGAAAAACUCAAAUUAAACUAGACUAAAAGACAUUCAAUUUUGCAAAAUCUGUCCAUAAAAGUCUGAAAGGAUCAUUAAAAUUGCAUUGCAAAUUUAACAGUAAACCGAGGGACCCAUUCUAAAUAAUUCAGAUGAAAUUGCGAAACAAGCCAUGGGAUUAAAUAAAUGAAAUAAAAAUUAAUUACCAGUUGAGACUUUCUUCUAAAAAUUCGCAACUCCAAGUCAUAAGAAGCCUAUGAAAUUAGUCGUACUACUGCGUAGAGUAUGACGACGACACCGCCAACAGCUGAAAAUAACAUUCUUAUUCAUAAAACGACAAGACCAUUUAUCAAAUUUCUUGUGGAUAUAAAUACAUACACAUAGACGAGACCAACCUCCUCAAAUGAGAAUCAGAGUGAUUACAAGACCUUUCAAUGAGACAAUAAUACACCAUCAAAUCUCAAAAUACAAUAGAAAUUCAUGACAUAUAUAUAAUAAAAGACCACUCAUUGAGUCAUAUAUAUUGAGAAUAAAUUUUUUUUAAUACAUACAAAGAGCUUAGCUAGAAUGAAAUGUCUUUGGACUUGCGAUGAUCAAACAAAGGAAACAGACAUGUUGCAACUCACACUAUCACAGAUGUAGCGACACAAUGCAGUGAAUCACAAGAAGAUCACGAAGAUGGAAACGGGAACCCCUCAGAAUGUAAACUUUGAAUAGAGGAAAAAAGGAAAACGACCUUAUUCACAGAGGACGAGUGACUUAAAUCUUCAUCAGUAUCCAAACAUUCUGCAAUCAUAGAGUAGAGAAAUUUUAACAGGAACAGCAGAGAAAAUAUUAUGAAUAUGCACUGAUUACUUUUUUUUUUUUUAAUUUUUUUAAUCCGCUGCUGUACCGUACAUCCGCCUUGGCCGUACAGCAGUCUCUUAAAACACUAAUCACUCAAGAGCAUUAAAACUCUUAGUCUCUCACUCUAGAAUUGAAGAAGAAAAGAAUGAAAUGCAGGGGUGAACCCCUCAUUUAUAGUUAAAAAUUUGGGCACUAUUUAUAUUUUUAUAUAUUUUUUUUAAAUUAAAAGUUUGAACUUGACAUUCAAACUUUGAAUAUCAAAAGGUAUUGGUCGCUCUUCUAGAAAAGCGACAUUGACUUUGAUAUUCUCCCACUUAGAAAUUUGAUUGAGAAUCAAUCAAUCUCCACACCAUCCUUUCUGCUUCGUCGCUAUCAUGUUGCUUAUGUCUCUACUAGGCCAUAAAAUGAUAUACUCCAAACAAAUUUAUCAGCAUUGAUAGGCUUGGGCAAAACAUUUGUUAAGUUCUCCUUGGUAUCCACUCUUAUAUCUUUCACUACUUCACGAAGAAGUGAUAUUGUACUCCUAUAUUCUUUGUCCUAAAAUAAAAGGUUGGAUUCCUUGCAUUUUAUUAGCCCAGCGCCGUUGAUCCGCUGUCUCUCCAUAGCAGACGUUUACUCGGCGUGAUUGAUUCUCCUGUAGUGAAAAUCUUCAUCUUGGGACAACCAAUCACACAUAACUCUUGCAAAGAUGGGAAUUUGAUGGUGUAAUUGGUAGAGCAGAAACUUGUGAGGCUAUCUAAAUCACGCAGUUCCAACGUCUUCAAUUUACUGGUGAAGUAGGUCCAUAGCUAAAAUAAAAUUGGAAGAAAAUGAAGAGCAAGCACACAGAGGACACUAAAAAUUACGUGGUUCGACUUUUAACAUACGUCUAUGGGUAAAGACAAAAGGAUAAAACUUUAGUGGUGAAAUGAGGAUUACUAGUAUUAUAAUAUUUUGUUUCACUUCCCAGAACCCCAAUCCACUCAAUCUCUUAAAACACUAAUCACUCAAGAGCAUUAAAACUCUUAGUCUCUCACUCUAGAAUUGAAGAAGAAAAGAAUGAAAUGCAGGGGUGAACCCCUCAUUUAUAGUUAAAAAUUUGGGCACUAUUUAUAUUUUUAUAUAUUUUUUUUAAAUUAAAAGUUUGAACUUGACAUUCAAACUUUGAAUAUCAAAAGGUAUUGGUCACUCUUCUAGAAAAGUGACAUUGACUUUGACAUUCUCCCACUUAGAAAUUUGUUUUAUUAAGAUUUUCUGCAAAAUCUGAAUGCACAAAGCCCUUGACAGUAAAUUCUAAUCCUUCGCAGCAUAAUGCAACAUCUGAUGUUCCUCUGAUAUUUCUCAGAAUCCUCUUAAUAGUCUUCCAAUGUUCUUUGCAAGGAUUCGCUAUGUAUCGACUAACCUCUCCCACUACUUGUACAAAUCAUAGCGAACCUUAAAUUUUCCACUGCUGAUGCAUACAGUACUCAAGACAUCUCUUCUUCUCUACUUCAUUACUAGAUGAAUACUUAAGAAUAACUUGAAAUUAAUGGGAGGCGGGGUAGAAAGCCAAAUCUUUUUGCUAUUACUAUCUCGGUGAAUUUGCAUCCCUAAAAUCUUGUUUGCUGGUUCUAAGUCUUUUAUUUCAAACUCCCUAGUUAACUGUGCUUUAGUUCUUGGACUCGAUCUUUGUUGGGGCCUGCUACUAAUAUGUCAUCAACAUACCACAGUAGAAUGAUGAAAUUAUUAUUAUCAAACUUGUUGUAAUAUGUACAACAGUCUGAACUGAUUCUAUUGUAUCCAAGGUUUAUGAUGAAUGGAUCAAAUCUCUUAUAUCAACAUCUCGGUGCAUGUUUGAGAUCGUAUAGAGAUUUGUUUAACUUGCAAACCAAGUGUCCCUUUUUAGUAAAACCUUCUAGUUAGAGCAUAGAAAUCUUUUCUUCAAGUUCUCCAUAAAGAAAUGAAAUUUUCACAUCUAACUGCUCCAAAUAUAGGUCAAAUGUAGCACACAUCGACAAGACCACUCUGACUGUCCUGAGUCAAAUCACUGGAGAAAAUAUCUCAUUGAAGUUAAUACAUUCUUUCUAAGGAUAUUCUUCCAUCACCAAUCUUUCAUGAUACCGCUCCACUAGGUUAUUACCAUCACGUUUGAUCUUAUGGACCCAUUUCCAACCAAUGGGUCUUUUUUUUUUCAUAUAGUAGUAGUACGAGUUCCUAUGUCAUAUUCUUGUGUAGAGCCUUAAUUUCUUCCUGCAUUGCUAUCAUUCACAAAGUAACAUCUGAGCUGUUUAAGGUUUCAUGAAAAGUUGAUGGCUUUCCAUUCUCUAUUAAAAGACAGUAUGCAAAAUUGAUAUCUAUGACAUAAUCCAAAUGCCACACUGACAAUUAUCUAUCACGAGUUGACCAACAAACUUUUGGGGCCUCAGACUCGAUUGGUUCUUGUUCUCAUACUUUGGUGCUGUUUCAAAAAAAUCUAAAUCUUCAUUUUCCAAAUUAUUUUCAACAUAUAUUAGCACAAUCUCUGAAUUUUUAUAGUGCUAUCAUCCAUAUCUCUCUUUUGCAUUUGAUCUUCUACAAAGAUAAUAUCUCUACUGAUAACGAUCUUAUGGGCAUUGAGGUCCCACAGAUAAUACCCUUUCACUCCAUCAAUAUAUCCUAAGAAGAUACAUCUCUUGGAUUUUGGAUCCAUCUUUAAUCUCACUUGGGUAUUGUAUAUCACGUAAAAGGACAUCAAAAUGCCUAAGAUGAGAGUAAUCAACUGGCUUUCCUGUCUAUUUUUUCCAUUGGAAUUUUCAACCCGGUUGCAUUGAAUGAUGACCCACUUACCACAUAAUAAGUAGUUUUUGCUACUUCCGCCUAGAAUGAGUUGGUAGACCAGCAUUUCUCAACAUAACUCUUUUUUUUUUUAUAAGAGUCAUGCCCUUUCACUCUACUACUCUAUUUUAUUGAGGAGUGUAUGCCACCGUGAACUAUCUCUAGAUACUUUCUUGCUUACAUAUGCAAGAAACAUGCUAUUUGUAUACUCUCCACCAUUGUCUGUCCUCAGGCACUUGAUCCCUUGCCCUGAUUUAAGUUCAAUCUACGCUUUGAAUUCUUUGAACAAUAGAAAUACAUUUGACCUUUUCUUGACUGGAUACACCAAAUAUCUCCUAGAAUAAUCAUCAAUAAAAGUCACCAAAUACUUUGCACCUCCCAUAGAUAUAUCAAUUGAUUCCCAAACAUUAGAAUGAAUCAAGUCUAAAAUACAUUUACUUUUGAAAGUGGAUCUGCUAAACUUUCAUCUAUGUUGCUUCCUUGUUUUGACAUGUGGCCAAGUUUAAGAUGCCACAUCAUCACUGAAUUUUCUCUAUUUGAUGUGACUGACACAAAAGCUUUCUGUAGUGUUUCCCUUUAAGCAUGAAUAAAUUAUCACCGAUCUUUUCCACCUUCAUUAAUGCAAGUGCGCCUUUGACUAUCUUUAUGAUCCCAUUUUCUACAUGAGUUUUGUGCACAAGGCUAUCUAUUUGUCCUAAAGACAAGAGAUAUUUUUCAAGUCUUUGACAUGUCUUACCUUCUCAAUUGUGCGAACCAUACCAUUAAACAUAUUUAUUUUGACAGUACCAAUAUCAGUAAUCUCAAAGGCAUAAUCAUCACCUAUGUAUACAAAUUCUCUUGAAAUAGGUUCAUAUUUGUGAAAUCAUUCUCUUGGAGAGAUCAUGUGCCAGGCAACUAUUAAGUCUAUAAGCCAGAUGUCAUAUAGUGGUUUUCUAUCUUCUGAAGCAGUUGUUGCCUUACUGUAAAGAAUUUUGCCAUCAUACGAGGUACUUACUACAUACCCUUGAGCAUUUGAUGACUCAGAAUCUUUACCAUCUCUUCUCUUCUAGUUGUUCCAAAACUCUUCCUUGACAUGCCCUUUCUUGCAACAGUUGUUGCAUUUGACAUUCUUUUUACUUCUAGAUUUUGAUCUACCGUGACUGUGGCUCUCACUAGGGCCACGUUCCAUGGAUCUUCCUUUCAUCACCAAUAGCGCUUCUACUUGUUGCGAACUCUUUUGUCUAUCUUUUUUAUUUUUUGCUACUCUCCUCAUUUAAUACGGAGGCUGCCAUAUUGUCAAAGACUAACUUGUUUGCUCGAUUGUUAUUAGUUAUAUUAAUGACGAAUUGAUCAUACGAAUCUGGUAAACCUUGAAGUAAAAGCUCUAUAUGUUUAUUUUCCUCUAUUUUAUGACCCAACGUUGUAAGUUAUGAAAAUAAAGUCUUUAAAGUGUUGAUAUGGUCGAUCACUGAUGUAGAUUCCUCCAUUCGAAGAGUAUAAAGCCUCAUCUUUAAGAAGAUUUUAUUUUGUAGUGAUUUGACCUCGUAUAGUCUUGUGAGAGUAAACCAUAUUUCCUUUACUCUCUUUUACUCUACCAUAUUGAAAAAUACCCUAUCUGAAAGUGGUAAGUGUAGAUAUGCAAUGGCAUUAUUGUCUAUCUCAUUCCACUUGCCAUCAUUAGUUAUCUUUGUGAGCCUCUCUUCAAUUGCUGCCAAGCAAUUACUUUUCCUCAAUACAACCUUCAUCUUCAUUUUUCAUGACGAAAAAUUAUUUUUGUUGAACUUCUCAAUUUUGUAUUUUUCCGCCAUCACUUUUCACCACGAGCUACCUUUGCUAAGAUCGAUUCCUACCAUUUCACAUGAGCAGUAACUGUAUAUAUGAAUAAAGUGUCGUAUACAGAAACAAUAUCAUAUACAUGAACAAUACAAUAUAUGUAAACAGUAUCUCGACCCCAAAAAAUACAACCCGGCUCUAAUACCACUAUUAGAAAAUUGAUUGGUGAAGUAGGGCCACGACUAAAAUGAAAUUGGAAGAAAAUGAAGAACAAGCACACAGAGGACACCAUAAAUUAUUUGAAGAAAAGAAUAGAAUGAAUGAAAUGAGGGGGUGAACCCCUCUAUUUAUAGCUAAAAAUUUGGCACUUUUUAUAUUUAUUAUUAUUAUUAUUUCAAAAUUUAAAGUUUGAACUUGAUAUUCAAACUUUGAAUAUCAAAAGAUACGGGUUGUUCUUCUAGAAGAACGGCACCAACCUUGACUCUUAGGCAGACCUUUAGAGCUUUAAAUAAAGAAAAAGCUUUUAAAAAUGCCAUGUGUACUUGAUUAUACAAUAAUCUCCACCACAUAGAGUGAUUUGAUAAAAGAAAAUUUUUAUUUUUAAUUUUACUUUUAUCAGGCAUGGUGCAUUUCCCCUUGGGCUCACAUGUAAAUACUUUUAUCAGGCACGGUGCAUUUCCCCUUGGGCUCAUAUGUAAGGAUGUCAAUAAGAUGGGAAGGAGAGGGGAUUGAUUUCCCCAUACUCAUCUUUAAUACUCUGUCUAUCUCUUUGUACUCUAGACAUUUCCUUCAAAAUCACUUGAAAGAAGGGGAUGGAUGUUUCUAAAUAAUACAAAGGGAUCUCCGAUGCUAUCCGAUCUCUGAUUAUUUAAUUUCUUUUUUUUCUUAAUUUAAUCAUCUUAAAGUAAAAAUAUAAAAUCAUAUUAACACAAAAAAUAUCAAAUUAACUAAAGUGAUUAAAAUCAUUUCCAUCAAAUUAAGUCAAUGUCAUCAAAUUAGAAGAUAAUCUUUGAACUAAUUAAGCAAAAGUAAAUCUUCAAAGUUGAACUCAUCCAUAAAUGUCAUAUAGUAUAAACCAUCAAUUAAAUUAUCUUUGUCAAUUUUAAAGUGUUUAUAUUUACUUUAUAUUGGCUGUUAUUUAUAUUAUUUUUAUAAAUGUAUUGUGAUAUUUUUUAUUUACAUCACACUAUUAUAAUUGAAAUUUUAAAUGUAUUUACUAUAAAUUUGAAAUAAAUUAAUUAAAAAUAGAAUGUAUUUACUAUAAAUUUGAAAAAAAAAUGAAUUAAAAAUAAAAACUAAAGAUAAAAAUAGAAAAAUGUGGAGCCAAAUAAAAUAUUAGGGCAAACACUAAGUUAUAUUUCAUGUAACUUACACCCACACAUAUUAAUUGAUCACAGAAAUUAUACACCCACACAUAUUAAUUUAUCAGAUUCUUGUCUCCACAUAGAAAAAUUAGAUCUAAAAUUAUCAAACUCCCGAAUGAGGAAGAUCCCUCGGGGCCAUCGUCCCUGUGGAAAUUUCUGCAUCCCUGCAGUCUACAACGCCUAAUAAUGAAUUGAACGGUUGAAAUCCCUCUAAAUUUUUGAUAAUUUCUAAUCGCCCCUCCAUAUUUGAUUGAACAUCAAAACUAUUGAGUCCAAAUUUAUAACUUUGAUUUAUCUUCCAUUCCAUAGUUUUCAAGUUCUCUCUCUCUCUCUCUUUUAAUCCUUUUUACUGCAACCACCAUCAAAGCCUAGUAGUUAAUAUGUAUGCUGCUUUGCUUUCAAAAUCGGACACUACUGGUAUUUAUGGUUUUUAUUCUUUAUUUGACACAAAAUUUGGCGAUAUCUCCGCGGAAAAACACUACUGGUGUAUUCAAUUUUAUCCGGUAAUGAUUAAAUUGAUUAUUACAUGAACCGUAACUUCGCCAAGCCCAAAAUACAUAUUAAGUUAUAAAGUGUUGGCACUCAUUAUUUUUUGCAAAAAGUUUCGCCCAAAAUACAUAUAUAUUUUUUAAUUUUUUAUUUGACACAAAAUACUGACAAUUUUUUCUGUGAAAAAAAACUACUGUUAAAGACGCAUUAAUAAAAAAUGUCAAAAUGCAUAGAAAGAGCAGACACACGGAUGAUGAAUUUACUCAUCUUUAUUAGUAUUUGAACUUGAGAUGGAAACCGGAAGUCCUCCGCACAUAAACUUUGAAGAAACUGGAAAACGACUUUAUUCCAGAUAAUGCACACCAGAGUGACCAAAAUUCUCUUCAGUAACUAUAGAGAAAAUAUUAUUUUGCAUGCAUUUCACGUAACUGGAUCAAACUACUCCCCUGUUGGUUUAUCAGACCACAUUUUUAUGGUGCAAUAUAAACCAUCUUUUCAAAACACUUUUACAAUGUGAGAAAUAUAGGCAUUAAGUUUCAUAAACUAAAAACUCCAAUUGUCCAAAAAAAAAAAAAGGUGAGAAACUCAGUAGAAUUUACAACUUCUCAGACUCACGAAAAGGUGAGAAACAAAUGAUUUUUAUAUAGUUGUUCAUAGCUAACUUUUGGGGGUUUAAUGAUUUGUACAUUUUGUUUUAUGUUAUUCAAGGAAAGAUAUUCUGCUGUACCGUACAUCUCAUAGGCAGGGGCAUAUAUGCAUGAUUUGAUAUAAUUCUUGCAAUUUCUAAGUACUUGCUCUUUCCAUACCUUCUAAGUUUUGAAAGAAAGGUUGAAAUAAACAGAGAAACAGGACAAACAGAAGAAGACUGAAUUAACAGAUCAACAAAGAUGGCAACUAACAAAUGGAAAAGUUCUCUUGUAAUCAAACUAUAGCAAACAGAUGACACCAUUACCAUAUAUCUUAAUGAGUAGAUUGAUUCUAAACAUAUAUGUUAGGAUACAUUUGGUUGUUUAAUAGUUCGAAAUAAAGAGGAUGAGAUGGUUUCCACAUAAAAGUGCUGGGCCUUUCAAUGACAUUUUCAAGGAAUUAUAAAAUUCAAAAUUAAAAAAAAAUAGCACAUUAUAAAGCCACACCGUCAAAUAAAUAAAUAAAUAAGUGAAGACCAAACUAAGUCACUAAGACCUUUAAUGAUAUAAAAUAAGCAUAUAAAUCUCAGAACAAAACAUUAAAACUCAUUCUAAAAGUAAAAAUAAACUAGUGGUGUAUUCCAAACAAUUUAGAUGAAGCGAUAAAACAAGCCAAGAAAUCAAAUAAAAUGAAAUGAAAUUGAAUUACCUGGGACUUUGUUUUUCAAAUUCACAACUCGCUUGUAAUUAAAGUAAAAUGCCAAUGCCAUUAGGACAUAUACAUCAUUGAAUAAGAUGAGGACCCCUCCAACAGCUGAAAGUAAAAUUUUCAUUCAUUAGUUUCAAUUAAAAGUAAAGCACGCAGAGAUUUGCAGGGAAGCAAGAGAUUUAAUAAAUUUAACAACAGCAAUUUAAUUUGACAGGACUUCCAUACAGUAAUGAAGUUAAAAACUAACGAUUAACGAAAUUUUGUAAUUGAAUGAAUAAGAUUCUCUGAUUUUGGAUAAUUGAAUGAAUAGGAUUCUCUAACUCUUGUGAAAAUAUCAAUUUUAAAUAGGGUAGAGUUUCAAGAAUUAAGCACAUAUGUAUCCCAUCUGCCAGUACGUGAUCAUAAACUUACUUUAUAACAAAUAUCUGAUCUAUUUGGUGCAUUUUAUUUAAAAGAGAAAUUUUAUAAAAUUUUUCCACUGGUGAUAGUGAGUUAUUCGUACCUUCUCAGCAUGUAAAUGCUGUAUGAUUGUGUUAAGAUCAUUAUUAGCCCAAGGCUGUUGAUCGUCUCUCUCUCCAUAGUAGAAGUUUACUCUGAGAGGCGCGUUUAAUUCUCCUUUAGUGAAAAUCUUCAUCUUGGGACAACCAAUUAUAGAUAAAUCUUCCAAAGAUGGGAAUUUGAAGGUGUAAUUGGCAGAGCAGAAACUUGUGAGACUAUCCAAAUCAUACAGAUACAAAAUCUUCAAUUUGGUGAAAACAAUCUCUUCUUCAAAAUUUGCUGCUCCAUCUUCGUCAUUUAUCACCACCUCUCUCAUUGCUCUGCAUCCAUAUACCAACAUUGAUAAGAGUCGCUGUAGAGUUUGGAGUGACAGAUUCGAUAAUGAUCAACUCCAAAUACUGGCCAAGAUCGCAAAUCAAACAACCAAGAUGCAAAAAGAAUCAAUCCAGAACAAAUCACAGAGAAACUUAAGAACCGAAAAGAAUUAAAGAAUUAGCAGCAAAGACAAAAGAAUUAACAGAUUUUGACAAUAAUGUACAUUUAGAAUUUCAAGGCAUUGAACAAAGGAGUCCAAUUUGGAGUCUUGUUUCCACAAUUGCUUCAGAUGAUUAAAUUUGUGCAGAUCUAAAUGUUUUAUCAUUGUAAACUUCCUCACAUGUUUCUUCAAGUAUCCUCCAUUCGAAAAUACCUCUUCGCAUGAACAACGACGCCGUAUGAGAGUUUCCAGAUUAUGAAAUCUCUCAAGUAAAUCAAGUGGAAAACAAGUUGAGUCAUCAUCCACUGUUUGUAGUAGUUUAAGACUGCCAAAAAGGUGUUGUGGGAAAUCGCUCUGCAAAGUCAUCCUCGAGUCUUUUCCACUUAAUGCCAGUUGGGUAAGCUCUGAUCAUCAUCAAUCACGUAAUAACUUAUUAAGUCAAUUCAUAUUCUCUCAAAUAACUUUUAAUAAUCCAAUCAUACACAGUGACUUUAAUAUAAAUCAUAAUAAUUUACAAAAAAGAAGAAAAAAUCGAAUUAGAGGUAAAAGUUAUUCUACGAUUUUAUUUUUUAUAUAUAUCUUGCAUGCUAUUCCCAAGAGCAAUCCCAAACGGCCCUUAAAGCAAUUUUACAAAAGCGGCCGUUACAUAUAUUGCCAACUUUGUUGGGAAUGGCAAUGGGGAGAGGAGGGGAAGAGACCGAACUCCCCGUACCCAUUCAUGAUAUUCUGCAUAUAUCCUCGUCCUCUCCUCAUUUCUCACAAAAUUGCUUUAGGAAAUCCCCCUCCCCUCCCCAAAUAAUAAUAGGGGAUCCUUGAAGGCCCUCGAUCCUCGAAUAACUGAUACGUUUUUUGUUUUAAAUUUUAAUUUAAUCAUAUUAAAAUAAAAAAUAAAAAUAAAAAUAAAGUUUGACGAUAUAUCUUAUAUUAACAUUAAUCUAUUACAAAAGUCACAUUACAAAGUAUAAAUCACCAUAAUAAUUAUCUUCGGCAAUCUUCAAAAUCAUAUAAUAAAAAAAAGAAAUUACUUUUAUAUCAACAAUGAGAUAAAUGAAAUGAAUAUAGAUACUUAAUCAAUAUUUCUAAUAAAAGUAUUUACCUCUGCGUCUCCUACUCUUCUUGUUCUUCCUCGAGGAAUGUGACAAAUUGAGAGAUAGCCUCAGAUUUCAAAUUUAAAACAACAAAAAUAAUAUAAGUAAUGUAAAUUCUAAGUGAAAAUAUUAAUAAUUAUAUAAUAUAAUUACAAUGUAAAAUAAACUCAUACUGCCAUUGUAAGCUUGUAGUCAACUUUGACAACAUAUUAAAGCCUCCAAUGUGCUUGAAUAAAGCGUGUUACGGUACUCUACCACUGGUGCUAAAAGCUAAUUCAGAAGCAACAUUUGUAAUUAGAAUUGCCAAAAUAUCUCUAGCAAUUCAUGCCAGUAUAGGAUAUCUAUAGACAUUUAUUUUACACCAACUCAAAAUAUUAAAAUCUUUCAUCCUAAGCAUAACUUUCUCAUCCAAAUAUUAAUGUAGUCAAUUAGGCCUAAAUUUUAAUAAUAUAAUUAUUUUAUUUUUUUUUAUUUAUACUAAUAUUUAAUAUUUUAUUAUUUAUUUACAAAUAAUUUUAAAAAAUAAAAUUAAAUCAAAAAAUUAGAAGAGAAUAGGGAUUCUGCCGAUCCCCGUUCUUUCUCUGAAUAAGAAAUUAGGUAAAAAAACUAUCUCCGUCUCCUUUUCAAAUAAAAAAUUAAGUAAAAAAUUAUGUACCCACCUGAAUUGGGAAAAUCUCGAGGGUCAUGUCCCCGCGGCAAUAUCUGCCAUUCCUAAACUUGUAACAGCCAGUUGCUUUUGUGACCGUUUAUGUGACGGCUAGACUGCUCUCACUUAUGUUACUAACCACGUGACGGUAGAGAGUGACGGUAGAGAGUGACGGUAGAGUUAUAAAUUUGUUUCUAAAUAGAAAACUAUUUGCUGGAGUCAAUAUUUUGAAGACCAAAGUCCCAAAUUCUCUCUCGUGCCUGGCCAGCAUCCUAAACCUUACUGGUAGCCGGAGAAUGGCGUAAAACGGCAGCGAUCUUCUUCUUCAUCUUAUUCUCUCUCUUCGUUUCAGGUAAGCUUGUGAUUAUGAGUUUCCUCUCUUUCUUAGCUUGUAAUUAUAGGUUUUGAUCUCUUUACUUCGUAUUGUAGCCAUUAAUGUCAAUUUUUGUCCCACCGGCAAUGAGAAAAAAUCGAAUUAGAGGUAAAAGUUAUUCUACGAUUUUAUUUUUUAUAUAUAUCUUGCAUGCUAUUCCCAAAAGCAAUCCCAAACGACCCUUAAAGCAAUUUUACAAAAGCGGCCCGUACAUGUAUUGCCAACUUUGUUAGGAAUGGCAAUGGGAAGGGGAGGGGAAGAGACCGACCUCCCCGUACCCAUUCUCGAUAUUCUGUAUAUAUCCCUGGCCUCUUCCCAUUCACAAAAUUGCUUUAGGGAAUCCCCCUCCCCUCCCUAAAUAAUAAUAGGGGAUCCUUAAAGGUCCUCGAUUCUCGAAUAACUGAUACGUUUUUAGUUUUAAAUUUUAAUUUAAUCAUAUUAAAAUAAAAAAUAAAAAUAAAAAUAAAGUUUGACGAUAUAUCUUACAUUAACAUUAAUCUAUUACAAAAGUCACAUUACAAAGUAUAAAUCACCAUAAUAAUUAUCUUCGGCAAUCUUCAAAAUCAUAUAAUAAAAAAAAAGAAAUUACUUUUAUAUCAACAAUGAGAUAAAUGAAAUGAAUAUAGAUACUUAAUCAAUAUUUCUAAUAAAAGUAUUUACCUCUUGUGUCUCCUACUCUUCUUGUUCUUCCUCGAGAAAUGUGACAAAUUGAGAGAUAGCCUCAGAUUUCAAAUUUAAAACAAUAAAAAUGAUAUAAGUAAUGUAAAUUCUAAUUAAAAUAAACUCAUACUGCCAUUGUAAGCUUGUAGUCAACUUUGACAACAUAUUAAAGCCUCCAAUGUGCUUGAAUAAAGCGUGUUACGGUACUCUACCACUGGUGCUAAAAGCUAAUUCAGAAGCAACAUUUGUAAUUAGAAUUGCCAAAAUAUCUCUAGCAAUUCNNNNNNNNNNNNNNNNNNNNNNNNNNNNNNNNNNNNNNNNNNNNNNNNNNNNNNNNNNNNNNNNNNNNNNNNNNNNNNNNNNNNNNNNNNNNNNNNNNNNNNNNNNNNNNNNNNNNNNNNNNNNNNNNNNNNNNNNNNNNNNNNNNNNNNNNNNNNNNNNNNNNNNNNNNNNNNNNNNNNNNNNNNNNNNNNNNNNNNNNNNNNNNNNNNNNUUGAAAACCAAAGUCCCAAAUUCUCUCUCGUGCGUGCCUGGCCAUCCUAAACCUUACUGGUAGCCGGAGAAUGGCGUAAAACGGCAGCGAUCUUCUUCUUCAUCUUAUUCUCUCUCUCAUCGUUUCAGGUAAGCUUGUGAUUAUGAGUUUCUUCUCUUUCUUAGCUUGUAAUUAUAGGUUUUGAUUUCUUUAAUUCGUAUUGUAGCCAUUAAUGUCAAUUUUUGUCCCACCGGCAAUGUUUUUUGUUCCUAGAAGUUGAAGCCCUUCUGUUCUUGUGCCAUUGGUGAGUUUGCUCACUCAAAUUAAUUUUGUUCUGCGGAGUUUACAAAGUUCAAAUGGAUUCAUUUGGAUUACUAUUGAAUUUAGCUUUCAUUUCAACAUUCAUUCUAAUGUUUUACAAUCAUGUAUUUAGAUUUACUUUUAUUUUAUGUUUAAAGCUUCCACAAUGAAUAGCGGAGCUUGGGUUUUAGUUUCAUUUUCUAAUUAACUUGUUUUAGUUUAUCUUAUAUGCUCGCCAAGUGCUUGUUAUAUUGUCUGAUAAGUUAUAUAACAUUGCUGAUUCUAUAUUAGUAAUGUCAUGUUCCAUUUUCGGAAAUUAUAACACAAAAGUUUUUACAAUGGCUUGCAUCUACAAACUGAAUUGACUUGUAGAGUAAGAGCUUGGAUUAGUGUUAUGUUCUUGAAUAAAUGAAAGUUCAUAUUGUGUAAGAGCAUGUAGAUGUAAAGCAUCACUACCAUUUCUACAAAAUGCUUUCAUUCUGUUCAGAUGCUCCUCUUGAACUUUGAAAGGUGCCUCAUUCAAGUCCUAGCUAUAACUACUAGCUCUGAUUGCUUAAGUUCCUGUGCUAGCUGAAACAGAUUUAUUUAAUUAAUUAAUUGUGUAUGUACUAAUUAUAUUGAAAGUAUAUGAAGAAAUUGUUUAACAUGAAUGACUUCUAAAUGACUUAAAAGCCUAAAGGAUAUGUGAAAUAAUGCUCAUUUCACUUGAACGAGCCUAUUAAUACUUGUAUGUCUAUGAUUGUCAAUCUUGCUUAAGUGUUUCAGUUAAGUGGUUUACCUAACAGGGAAAAAAAUUUAAUGGAAAACUUUAGAGUUCUAACAGAAAUAUAGUUGACUGCAGAUAUAGUUAUUUUACAGUACAUAAAUCAUAUUGUCCUAUUCUCAAUGUCCUGCGACCUAUUUUAUUUUAUAUGGUCAUUCAUUUUUGCGAUGGUUUUUUGUGCUUAUGAGUAUGGAAAUAGUGGGAUUUAGAGUGGCAAACAAAAAUAUACAUAUAAUCAAGUUUCUUAAUCAUGUAUAUUGGUUUUGGGUAUGAAUGUUUUCCUAUUCUAGUUCUAGGCAAAGUUUCUUCAUUUUGGUCUUCAGAUUUCCAGUAGGUUAAGUUAAGCAACUAUCAUAACUAGCUAGCUAGUUAUUGCCUGCCUUGUCGCCAUUACCGACGCCAUUACAUUGCAUGGCAUAAGGAAUAGUAACUAGGUGAUUAUUGGUGAUUCCUUGAGUUUAUUAUUGGCCAAACAAACAUAUUCGCCUUUACCCACAACUUAGUUUGAUUAGUUAUUAGAUAAUAAAGAGCCUUAAUCUAUGCAUUGCUUUAUUAUUUUUAUUUGGUUUUUCUUUCAACAAUAUUGUUGAUUUCUUAUAAACAGUACUAGUAGUGAAAAAAUGAUGACAACAACAAAAAUAGAAAAUUACAAGACUGCUGAUAAAAUUUCAUUUGCAUGCAUGUCUGACAAAAUUUCCGUGAUUUAAUGUGCUUUCAUGAACGCAAGUCCUAACGUUUCUGUGAUCACAAAAUGAAACUGAAGAUAAAACAGAACAACUACCAAACCUUUCAAGCUUGACGAAGCCAUGAGAAUUGAUAGCUCAGGCAGAAGUAUUUUAAUAUGAAUGACUUAAAACUUAUUGCUCAGUAAACAUAAUGUGCAUCAGUGCUAGAAAAUGUAUUUAUUGUUUGUAAUUUUUUAUGGUUUUGCUUAAGAAAUGAAAUGUGAAAAAAUGCUACAUUUUAUUAGGAAUAAAUUGAAGAGAUUUAUGAUUUUUAUGUGUUAUUCAAGUUUCAGAUUCAAUUUUAAACUUUUGAUACAUGCAUUGAAAGCUUAAACUCCUUUAAGAAAUUAUUAAUAGACACAUGUUUUAUUAGUGUCAUCUUUUGGAUGAUAGUGAGGAUCUUAUGUCUAUUAAUAAUUCUUGAAUUAUCUAGGCUUGGACAGUUUGGUAAUGCAUAGAUUUCUAUGGUAGCUAGUGCCUGAAAUUUUUUUCCCACGUAAAAAUGGGUUUUUCAGCAGCUGCUCCUCAUGUUCUCUGGGUGCAUACUAGACAAAUGGGUGUCAUGUAUUGUUUUGGCAUAACACAUAAACACUCAUAUAUCUAUGUCGUUGCUUGGAGAACUAAAGGGAGAUGCUGCCGAAAUUUCUAUAAACGUAGAAGAAAACUUUAAAGUACUUGAGAUUGAAGAAACUUAUGCAUUCUUGAGAGGGAUAUACGGGACCACUUACCUUUUGUAAAUAUGAAGGGAAUGUUGGAUAUAUUGAUGGGAGUGGAGGAGCUGAGUGGGAUGAAUGUAAUCGGUUAUGAUUUUGCUGAGUCGACUUGGUUUUGAGUCUUGUAAUUUUUUUUAUAAAUGGAGUACUAUCUCCAAUGUUGGUUUAUAAAUAUGUUUCAGCUGGCUGACCUAAUUUUUUGUUUCUAGGUAACAGGCUUUAUAUAUCUGUAAUUGAUAGCCAAGUGAAGUUCUCAGCAGUGGGUGAGGAUAUUUCUUUACAGAAGGUAUUGCAAACUGUUUUUUAGAUUAAUUAUUGUUGUAUAUAUACUUUAAUUUUCACAUCUUUUUCUCUGAUUCUUGUGGCUUUGCUUGCUUCCAUAUAUAUAAACGUUCUAAUGAGAUUAACCAUAAAAUUGUAUAAUAAUUUUUUUUAUUAUAUUGCGAAACUGCGCACACAUGAAAAUAUCUUGUUUAGUAGUAGAAAUGAAGAAUUAAAGUGAUUUAUUUAACUAAUUUUUCUAGUGCAUUAAAAGGACAUAGUCAUGGACCAGAGUUGGGUUGGUUUGCCAAAUAGAUAUCCAAUUCAUAUAAAAUUUAUAGAUUUUGCAUUUGAGAAUGUUGUUGGUGAUAAAAGAAUUUAUUGUCCUUCUAAGAAGUGUCGUAAUAUCGAUAUUUCCUUAUAAGGAAAGUGGCAAGAGACCAUAUCAUUAUAAAUGGCUAUUGGUUAAAGUAUUAAAACUGGAUAUUGGAGGGUGAGCCAUCUUCAUCUUUGAAAUCUAACUAAGAAACAGGUUAGUCAUGACUCGGGUAGUGAUGCUAGUAUGGUUGGAAUGAUGCAUAAUGCAUCACAUAAUCAAAUGUUCAAGUCACACGCAGCAUUGUUAUGGACUAUCUCCGACUUUCUAGCAUAUGCCAACUUGUUUGGGUGGAGUAUUAAAGGUAAAUAAGCAUUUCUUGUUUGCCAACAAAACACUAGAUCUAAUUGGUUGAUACAUAGUAGAAAAUUGUCACGUGGGUCACCGUCGAUUUUUACCAACAAAUCAUAGGUUCCGAAAAUAUAGUGCCAUCUGAUAAAACUAGAGAGUGGGGACAAGCACCUUCUCGGUUGUCUGGAGCUGAGGUGAAAAAGCAGUUCAGUAAUGUACUUACUGAGUAUAAGAUUGAAGACUUGAAAAGAGGAGAAUGAAUAAAAUAAAAGAAAUGAUAAGAUUACUUGGAAGAAGAAAAGCAUUUUUUAUGAACUAACGUAUUGGGAGUUCAAUUUGAUUCAUCAUAAUCUUGAUGUCAUGCACCGUUUUGAUUUUUGUUAUGAACUCAGAUCAAAAGUUUAAUGUGAUCAAAAUUUCUUAAAAAUAGUGAAAACGACUCCUCCUAAUAAUAUGGAAGAUGGCUAUAAAAGAUAAUUUCUUAAAAGUUUAAUGUGAUCAAAAUUGCUUGUGAACGCAAGGGUUUUAGUUACACUGUCAACGCUGUCAAUGUAGUGAUACAAUGAAGAUGAAGUAAAGCAUUAGUAGAAUAAUGAAGUUGACCAGUAACACAGUAAAGCAAAUUUUAUUCCAGAGCAUGAAAACUUUUAAACAGUAACACAGCUCUUAUUCCAGAGGCUGCACGCGAGUGACCUGAAUCUUCUUCAGAACUUUCAAAUUUUAUCAAGCAAAGCUUUCAAAAUCCUUGCCUUCCUAAGUUAGGAAAGAUAGAUGUGGAGCAAACUAUUUUUUUUAGAUAUUUUCACUUUGGGCUGUCAGCCCGAGGAAGUAGGGGGGUCUGAGUUAUUCAACUGAAAAUGUCGGCCAAGUUCUUGUGUUAGUUUUAGUAUAUUGUGUAAAAAUGAUACACUAACUUGAAUUUAUAUGCUUUUAUGACUAUUUGAUAAUCAAAUGGGUAAAUGACACGAAGAACUUUGAGUUUAAAGAGUGUAAUUAAUCUCAAAUAUCAACAUUAUAAAUUAUGAGUGUAAUUGAUUGGGUAAAUACUCGUUUAAUCCCUAAAUUUUGAUAUAAGUGUCCGUUUAAUCUCCAAAUUUUAAAAAGUGCGUAAAAACACUCUUAUUGUUCAAUAUGUUACAUUCUUAUCAUUGUUUGUUUCUUUUCUUUUACAAUAAUAAUAUUGCAACAAUAUUCUUGACAUUAAUUAAUUUAUUUAUAAAAAAAUUAAUUAGCAAAUUAACCAAUAAAUAUAAGUGUGAAAGAACUAAUAUUUUUUGUAGCACAUGCCAACUUGUCUGAGUGGAGUAUUAAAGGUAAAUAAGCAUUUCUUGUUUGCCAACAAAACACUAGAUCUAAUUGGUUGAUACAUAGUAGAAAAUUUUGUCACGUCGGUAACGUCGAUUUUUACCGACGAAUCAUAGGUUUCGAAAAUAUAGUGCCUUUUGAUAAAUCUAGAGAGUGGGGACAAGCACCUUCUCGGAUGUCUGGAGCUGAAGUGAAAAAGCAGUUGAAUAAUAUCCUUACUGAGUUUAAGAUUGAAGACUUGAAAAGUGGAGAAUGAAAAAAAUGAGAGAAAUGACAAGAUUACUUGGAAGAAGAAAAUCAUAUUUUAUGAACUACCGUGUUGGGAGUUCAAUUUGAUUCAUCAUAAAAUGUGAGACAUGAGGGAGAGACAAAAGCUCAGGCUUGUCUGCAACCAUGUGGGCCCUCAUAAGCAAUUCGUGUACACAACUUGGUUCACCAAGCCCAACAACUUGAAGCAGGCAAAAUCCGGGAACGAUCCUUCUCCUUCGCAACCCUAGCUGCCUUAACCUUGUAUUUCUGAUAUUUAGUUAAAGAGUAAGAAGAUUGCUCCUCUGUCAAUUACCUUCGAGAGAGACUUUCUUUUUCAUUCACCGAUGCUUGCUUGUGAAAGCAAGGGUUUUAGUUACGCUUUCAACGCUGUCAAUGUAGUGAAGUUAAGCAUUCGUAGAAUAGUGAAGUAAAGCAUUCGUAGAAUAAUGAAGAUGGAAGCCCCACAGCAUGAAAACUUUUAAACAGUAACACAGCUCUUAUUCCAGAGGCUGCACGCGAGUGACCUGAAUCUUCUUCAGAACUUUCAAAUUUUAUCAAGCGAAGCUUUCAAAAUUUCUCAACAAAUUGAUUAUUUGGUGUGGUUGCCACAUUUUGAGUAACCGCUAUUUGUUCUCAAGUACAAAAUCCUUGCCUUCCUAAGUUAGGAAAUAUAAAUGUGAAGCAAACCAAAUGAAAUAAAUGGGUAAACAGAACAAGCAGGGCAAAAAUUAAAAAUGAUGGCAAUUAACAAAUUAAUAGCAAUGUUACAUUUGACUCUUUAGCCCUUUGUUCCUUCUCUUAGCAUUCUUCAAAGGUUUUGAAAAUAGGACGUGAAGCAAACAAAAUAAAAUAAAUUUAGACAACACAUGCCCUGUAUUCAGCAUCAUAUAUAUCUCGCAUAUCUAAUAUAAUAAAUUUCACAUCUAAAAUACUAGAAUUUCAAACAGAAUAUCUAAUAAUAGUAAAAAAAUGACGACAACAACAAAAAUAGAAAAUUACAAGACUGCUGAUAAAAUUUCAUUUGCAUGCAUGUCUGACAAAAUUUCCGUGGUUUAAUGUGCUUUCAUGAACGCAAGUCCUAACGUUUCUGUGAUCACAAAAUGAAACUGAAGAUAAACCUUUCAAGCUUGACGAAGCCAUGAGAAUUGAUAGCUCAGGCACUGAUACCAAGUUAAAGUUUCUAAUCUGUUUGGUAAGUAAGAAAAUGUGAGAAAAUGAAAGAAAGAACAGAGAUCAUCUAAGAGCUGGAUUUGAUAAGUAAAUAUGAAUCAUCCAUUCAUUAGUUGAUUGCAAAUGUAUUUAUACGAGGUUCCUGAACAUUUCAGAUUCUAUAUGCUCGAGCUAAGCACCUGAGAGUUGAGCAGUGUGCACUAACAAACUGCUAACAAAAUAACUAACUUAUGCCAGCUCAGCUAACACGUCAGUAACUCUUAACUAUCUUGCUUAACAAACUGAAACAAUAACUAACCAUUUUAACUAUCUUAACAAUCCCAAUAAUUUUUCCAUUUGUGUAUUUUUUUGAAUCAUAAUCAAAUGGGUAAAUGUUGCAACUAUUUUUUUUAGAUAUUUUCACUUUGGGCUGUCAGCCCGAGGAAGUACGGGGGUCUGAGUUAUUCAACUGAAAAUGUCGGCCAAGUUCUUGUGUUAGUUUUAGUAUAUUGUGUAAAAAUGAUACACUAACUUGAAUUUAUAUGCUUUUAUGACUAUUUGAUAAUCAAAUGGGUAAAUGACACGAAGAACUUUGAGUUUAAAGAUCUGGCCCUGAUGCCUAGUAGCCCUCCAACCCAUGAAGCACUAGAUGUUUUAAUGAGAAAACGACAAGACCAUUUAUCAAAUUUCUUGUGGAUAUAAAUACAUACAUAGAGUGAUUCAAAUCUCAAAAUACAAUAGAAAUUCAUGACAUAUAUAUAAUAAAAGACCUCUCAUUGAGUCAUAUAUAUUGAGAAUAAAAUUUUUUUAAUACAUACAAAGAGCUUAUCUAGAAUGAAAUGUAAACUUUUUUAAUACAUACAAUGAUCAAACAAAGGAAACAGACAGGUUGCAACUCACACUAUCACAGAUGUAGCGACACGAUGCAGUGAAUCACAAGAAGAUCACGAAGAUGGAAACGGGAACCCCUCAGAAUGUAAACUUUGAAUAGAGGAAAAAAGAAAAACGACCUUAUUUCAAAUUGCGCACAGAAGAAGAGUGACUUAAAUCGUCAUCAGUAUCCA